rnacentral:rRNA from 1 species
CACAUGCAAGUCGAACGGAAAGGCCCUUCGGGGUACUCGAGUGGCGAACGGGUGAGUAACACGUGGGUGAUCUGCCCUGCACUUUGGGAUAAGCCUGGGAAACUGGGUCUAAUACCGGAUAGGACCACGCGCUUCAUGGUGUGUGGUGGAAAGCUUUUGCGGUGUGGGAUGGGCCCGCGGCCUAUCAGCUUGUUGGUGGGGUAAUGGCCUACCAAGGCGACGACGGGUAGCCGGCCUGAGAGGGUGACCGGCCACACUGGGACUGAGAUACGGCCCAGACUCCUACGGGAGGCAGCAGUGGGGAAUAUUGCACAAUGGGCGCAAGCCUGAUGCAGCGACGCCGCGUGAGGGAUGACGGCCUUCGGGUUGUAAACCUCUUUCAAUAGGGACGAAGCGCAAGUGACGGUACCUAUAGAAGAAGGACCGGCCAACUACGUGCCAGCAGCCGCGGUAAUACGUAGGGUCCGAGCGUUGUCCGGAAUUACUGGGCGUAAAGAGCUCGUAGGUGGUU